GUGUAGAUAUAUUCCAAUCACAGCGUGUUGUAUAAAUGUUUUAUAAUACAAGACUAGAUACAAUCAGUGUAUUUAGGUGCUGUAAGUGUGAGAUCUCUCUGUAUUAAGCCGUGAAUAUUCAUGAACUCUUGUUUCUUUUGAUAUAUCUACUCGCCCAGGUACACUCGGGAAUCCUCCACAUCAGUGAUGUGAAAAUCGUUGAUGCCUGAAGUUCAAAAGGUGAAGUAAAGUUGGGUAGCUUCAGUGAGAGCUCCCCCACUCUGCUCCUCUGGUGACUUCAGAGCCUCCUCAUUUUAGACUUUCCCACAGAGGACUACUUUCCAAUGGACAUGCAGAAUCAUGAACCUCAUCAUUGUAAAUACCACUGACCCUGGUGGGACUUUUGGCUUCAACAUUUCGGUUGCAUGCUUUUCUUAGGAUCUUUAUAACGCUUUCUAAUGAUGACCACCCUAUGUAUGAAUUGCUCUCGGUCCAUCGUUGUUCUCAAUAUGCAACAGGUUCUGUGAAUGAACCACUCGUCUGUCACCUUUCGGGACAAGGACUAUUCAGUGGAUUUCUUGAGACUGGAUAGGACUGUUCCAUUCUUCCAAAACGUCCUCAAGUGGCAUAAGCGGCACAUAACAUAAGCUCAAGCUUCCGACUGUAGGACAUUUCCAUGUAUAACCACCAACCCUCAGGAUCUAACAUUUCUGCACACUGCUGAUAUAUCCUCCAGUCUACAGCCAGCAAACAGUCCCAGGAUCCCGGUAACCCAACACAAGGCACAGAAAGACUACUCACUGACCAAGUCCUACUAGUCAUUUUUUUAAAUACUUUUAAAAAGGAGUAAAAAUGGACUGUUGAUGAACGAUGGUAAUAUGUUAUACUGACUACACUGAAAAGCAAUGAAACGUUCUUUGUAUAUACUUCUGUACAAAUUAUCAAUGUAUAUAUAUGUAAAUGUAAACUUUCCCUGCUGGGGGGGAGAUUGAAAGUGUAAUGGAGACCCCCAGGGUACGAAAGGGGGGCCAGGCAUGGUGUAAACGUCUGUGCUGGUCAUAACGUAUCCAUCCAUGAAGAUAGGAGAAAACCGUAUAUACAGUUUAAUGUAUAGAAUUUAGCUCACACCAGCAUUUGAUUUACUUCUAUCAAACAUACACAAAAUAUAAAAUGAUCUAGUUUAGUAUAGUUUCUUUAACAGACACUAUAACCACCAUGUACAGUAGAUACACCGGGUCAUACAUGCAAUUGUUCUGCCCUGUUCUAUAACCAUGCAUGCUUAUUCCACACUAGCCAAAUCCACCACUCCAUGUUUUUGGCUGGAUUAAGAGGGGAUUUGUAAUCUUUCAAAAUCAUUAGAGGGAUGAUGGGUUUACAUUAAAUAGGUUUCCUGCUACCCCUUGAGCAAAGCUCCUCUGGCACCAUAAGAUUCUAAAAUAAAUUUAGACACGUAGGUGCAACUUCUCUCUAUUAGUCUAGUGCAGGGGUAGCCAACCCUGGUCUUCGAGAGCUACCAACAGUUCACGUUUUCCAGACCACCUACCUGGUGCACAGGUGUAUUCAAUACUCACUGACACAUUGCAAGAGAUCAACAGGUGGAGCCAAUUACUUCAAUUGUGAUGCUGAGAGGAGACCUGGAAAACGUUAACUGUUGGUAGCUCUUGAGGACCAGAGUUGGCUACCCUUGGUCUAGUAUCUCAUUAGAUGCCACAGCUCCAUACUGAUACACUAAUGAGGGUGGUGGGGUGCUUCAUGAAUACAGGUGUACACAGGGGCGGACUGGACUGCUUGACAAUGCGCACACACGUACGACUAGGGUGUGUGGCCAUGGCUCACGGGGGCGUGCCAAGAGUCAGGGGGAUCUGGCCUCGCAGCACACCCCCAUCUAAGUGUAUCAUCACGAAUGGGCGAGGGGGCGGUCAGAAAGAUAGCUGGACGGCUGCACUGUGUGCGGUCAGGCCGACUCUCAGGGCUUGUGCUUCCAUUAGGCAGCUGUAGGCAGCUGCCUAUGGGCGGCAGGACCUGAGGCGGCAGCCUGCUGUGUCUGCCUGUGAAAAAAAUGAGUUAAGGGGGAAUGACCUGACUGGCAAAGAUAGCGAGCGCAUUUAUUCUCAGCUCCGCUGCUCCUGUCAGCUGCGCCUUCCCCGGGAUCGGAGCUCCACAUUGCCUCUAACUUCUUCCUGGAUGCCAGCACCAUCUGGGAGACACUGCCCGCGUGCUGCCUCCCGACUCUCCAUCCCGCUGGUGACAUCACCGGAGUCCUGCGUGAUGGACUACUGGCCGAUCCUGGUCUGCCAAGUAAGGGACAGCAGCAAUAGAGCAGACUGCAGACAGACCCCCAGCUUCACUGGGGUUUCCUCUGCAGCCAUACAAGUGCCCUUAUAAUGCAAGAUAUAUAUAUAUAUAUAUAUAUAUAUAUAUACACGUGUAUGUAUAUAUAUAUACAUACACACACACACACAUAUAUAUAUAUAUAUAUAUAUAUAUAUGUAUCACCCCCACCUUCAAAUAUAUAUAUGUAUAUAUAUAUAUAUCUGUUUGUCAUCCCCCACCCACUACACACACACUACAGCCUGUCUGGGGGGCCCACAAAAUGUCAUGCCUAGUGGGAUUUUUUCCUUUUUAUUUAUGUUGGGGGAAGGGGCAAAGUGUAGGCAUUUUGCCUAGGGAGCCGAGAAAGCUUGCACCUGCCCUGCCGACUCUCUGUGUUGCCAGACCGGCCCAACAGGCCAUCAGCCCUUCUGGGAUUUGCCAGAAGUUUCAGAUGUCCAGUACGGCACUGGGUGUACAGGAAAAGUGUUAUACUGUAAUUCAAAUCAACCAAUCCAUUUCUAGGUUUGAUUAUCUUAAACAAGGAACAUUACUGAAUCUGAUUGGCUGCUGUGUGAUACAGCAACUUUCUUCUGUGCACCAGUUUUUGUAAUUAUCCCCCAUUCUGCGACAUAAGAAUUCCAUUUUUGCAUUUUUUUUCGUUAUAUACUUCCUGUUCACUUCCCCUAGAUGUAACUUAGAAGGAAACAAUCAAGAACACCACAUAUGCUAAAGAUUAAUCUGAUUUUGCAUUGAUUCUUACAGGGAAGGAAAAUAUGUAUGUAUCGGUAAAUGUCACAUGUAGGCGCAUGCCUUAGGUAAUUGACUUAACAAAGUAGAUUAUGUGUAUAUGACACAAAUUAUUAAUUUGAAAAUAGUUGAAAAACAGUAUGAGUUAUGUCAGGAAAAAGCACAGUCAGUGCAGGACAGGAAGAUAUCAUAACCUAUACUUACAGGGGCUGAUGUUGUGUUGAACAUAUGCCCAUUUGCAGAGUGUACUUUGUGUAAUUUCGCCCUACCCAUGUACAGGUAAUGCAGAGUAUAAAGCAUUCAGUCGCAUCUCAUCUAUUGCACGUCUUUCGGCGCAUCCAAUACUGUGUCAUUAUGGUAAUGUCAUGGCAGAUGGGUGUCCUAUUGAGACGCCCACAGGCUGAGGCAUGAUUCUGCCGUUGUAUGUAUAAAGACGCACUAUCAGCUCACCUUCAGCCAUUGCACCUGCCUAUGGCAGACGCAGAAUGACCAAUUGACCAUGGCCUCUGGUGUCAGUGCAACUGCGUAUCUGUGCACUAGCCAUCACUGUGCAUGGGCGGUGCAGCCCGGAUGCAUGCGCAGAGAUACUUGCACUAGAUGGCUUCCCUGCACCCAUCUCUGAAUCACCCUUACAAUAGGCGGUGCAAGUGUACCCUAGAAAUGAUCUGGGUCGAACUGGCCCAUAGGAGUAACGGGGAAAUCCCCAGUGGACCCCACUGCCUGAGAACCCCACACCUUCAUAUAGUGUCAGGUUCCAGACUGUGCAAAAUGUUACUCUAUUAGAGGGUAAGUUACAUGGCAUCUAAUAGCUGGCCAACUGGCCACACCUCCUGUGUUAUUAACCACACCCUUCAAGCACAGUACAUUAGCAUUGUAUUCACCUGGUGGGCCCUUCAUACUCCAGUCUGACACUGAUCAUGACGAAAAUGGGUAUCAAAGCAUGCAUAUAGAUAGGGCGGCAGGUGCACCACAAGAUGCAUGCAAUCUGCAUACGGGUGAUUACGGUAUACACAUUUUAUACAUCCAAGUGAGAACAUCUGCUGCCAAGAUGUGUUUAACCCUGCAUCAGGCCCCUGAUGUGGGUCUAUGUAAGAUGAUUAUCUGUCCUGAGUGAGCCAUGUUAUGCCAAGGUAAUUCUGGGAGAAAGUUGGGACAUUGGCUGAGACACAGAGAUCUGAUGGGUACCCUAUUCUGAGUCUCAGUGUUUCCUUGUGUCCCAGGCUUCAAAAAUGUAGUUGUGAGAUCUACUAGACAGGGAAAGGAAUGACGUCUGGCUAAAUCUGGGCGUACAGCCCUCUUUAUAAUUGUACACAAUAUAUUAACAUCAAUCAAUAUAUGAAGACUACCUAUUCCCAUUCUCUUUUGUAUAUUAUACAUACAGUGACUAUAUAUACAGUAUCUAAAAUGUUAGUACUGCUACUGAAUAGGAAGAACAGUGUACAUCACUUUGGGGCAUAUGUAUUAAAAAAUUGCGGUAUGCAGCCAAAAUGUAGCAUUCUUUAUAGCUGCAUAUUGCGGCAACAAGGAAUAUUUUUUCAGGUGUAUGUAUUAAGCUUCAGUCACCUGGACAUGGUUUCAGAUUACUCAAGUAAUCACUGUGGGGCUGAUUCAGAUGUGGUUGGAGUUGCUAUCACUGCUGAUUCUCCUUAAUCAGCAGUGAUAGUGCUUUAUGGUAAUGCAGCAGGGGGAUCUGCAGGAGCCUCCUGCUGCAGUAAUGAUCUGACCUGUGUCCUGGGAUGCCGCAUCGGCUCUUUCACCCAGCAUUGGGCGGCUUGCGGCACCCAUGGUGUGCGCAAGCCACCCGUCGCAGAGGCCAGGAAAUCUCCGUUCUAUGAUGGAGAUUCCUGGCCUCUUCCCUCCCCCCCUAAACAGUGACACAAAACAGAGGCCAUUGCUCCCUCCCUGCCCCCCAGACAGCAGCAGACUGCCAAUCACUGACAGUCUGCUGCUUUCAUGCUACUGUAUCGCAGGACCCGCUUGCGCACGUGCAGAACAUAUCCUGCAAAAGUACCGAUAAUCGGUACAUUGCACAUCUAACCCCCUUUAUCAGUGUUCAGACAGGGCCACACAUCACGUGCAUUGCAAAAAUACUGCAAUGAGCAUUGCUAUCGCCUCCUGCCCACCAGAGAGGGAUUUUGCUAUCCCGCUCAGACAGGGCUGCUCCAUUGACUUAAGCGAGAUUAUUUCACCUCGCUGUUGUUUCAUACUGGCAGCAGGUCAGCCAUUUCCCCUUUUUGUAAGAUCAGAAUUUGCUUGACAAAUAUGUUCCUAAUGUAUCUCAUUGAAAGUUGAUAUUAUGAAACAUGAACUUUUUUGAACAGGUUUAACCACAUAGCUUCUGAAAGUGGAGUGCUGAACGUCAUAAAUAGCUGCCCCAGCCAAAUUUGCUAAGUGGCAUAUUUUAAACAUUCAAAAGUUGAUUAUUAAAUUUUGGGGGGAAAAAGUUACUGUCACCUUACAGGCUUCAAUAGAAUGUGACAGAGAAGGAAUGUAAAAAUGUUGGACUUAAUCCAAAAUUAAAGGAACACUACAGGCAAAAACUGAAAAUACAUACAGUAAAUGAGUUGAAUACUUAGUAGUGCUGACUGCACUCUUCCUGCAUGUCAGACCUCUGCUUGAAAACAUAUAAUUGCUACUGUUGUCCCUUCAGAUUAUUUAUUCCUUAAUAUUGGCUCUUUAGCCCUGCUCCCUGGAAGAGAAUAAAGCUGAAGAAUUCUACAGAACAAGCUCAGGAGUAUAUAGUGACUGGAUACUAGUAGGACCUUCAAAUGAAGAAGUCCAGGAGAACAUGGGGCAGACAAGUCAUGAAGGUCACCCUAUACAUCCACAACAAUAUGGGGCAGAGAAGUCAUGAAGGUCACCCUAUACAUCCACAACACUCUAACAAAGUCAGUGCCAGCCACUCACAAGCAGGUUGGUUGGCUAAUAAAGUCAUUUUUGUGCAAGUUGUACAUGGUAUUGCCCCAUAGUAAGCAAUCAAAUCUGGCCCAAUUUUAUCCAACAUGAUGACUACAUAUAAUACCAUCAGCCGGUGCAGGAGGGCUGUGACCAUGUGUGCGGUCUCCCACUGUGGUCCCAUUGUUCACCCUAGUGCUAGAAUGCUUAGAGCUGCCAAUUUGCUUCUCAUUAUGUUAUUUUACUGACCAACUGCAGUCAUCUGAUGAUUGUGGUGAAUGACCAUAUUGCAACCUGUGUGGGGCAAUUAUUACUUGUAUGACUCCAGGUGACACUGGUGUUUCAGCAGAUGUUAUCUCUUGCAGGAAAUAUAUUCUAUCAAAUAAAUAUUGGGUCCACAACAGUAGAUUGGAGCAGCUCUGACACCACCCCCCACUCCCACCCCCUCUGCUACCUCUCAAGCCAUCCAAACAUUACCCCACACACUCACAUUUGUGUUUUGUAUAUUUUUGUUUGCAAAUUGAUCCUGAAAUUAUCAAUAUGAUGUCUUCUGUUGCUAUUAAGAAAAAGCUGUAUUUAUAUAUUUAUUUAUUUAUUUUAAAUGUAUUUAUUUAUUUAUUUAUUUAUUCAUUCAGUUCUGUGGAGCCAAAUGCCUGUUCCCUCUCCAAUAAUAUGUUUAUUAAUGUCUCUCGUUUCUCCCUUCCUUUCCCCAGGUCCUUUCUUUAACCUUAUUUAUCUCUGAACAACCUAACUCCUGUCAUCCAUCUUGUGUUUCACCCAUCCAUUCAUAUCUCUGCACUUCAUUUGAGGUGCACUGACACUCAGUUUAGUGUAGGGAACACCGAUCUCUAAUUUACACUCUCAUUGUCCAUAGUUUACCAUGGGGUGAAUAUCACCAGUCAACGGGAUUGUGAAACAAUAUUUUUUGGUGACAUAUGUACAUGGGUUGGGUAGAAAAUGCCAGCCGGCAGACUGCCGGCUGCCAGGAUCCCAACCUAUAACCUGGUGAAGGCAGUUAUUUUUUGUCCCUGUCCUUUUUCCCAUCGACUGAUGCCUAGACCAAGUAUAGCUAGACCCUUGCACAAGUGUCUCCUGAAAUCACAUGUAGAAUUUAGUUAUUACAAUUGUACAGUGGGCCAGGUCUUAGGUCUUUCAAAAACCCAGAACUAUCUCCGCUGUCCCUAUAAUCCAUAGCUGCAGGUUUACGCGUUGCUGUCACAGGAUAGUGGCCCAAAAACAGACAAUGGUGCGGCACUAGAACACAACUAUACAUGCAUGUCCAUGGUCAACAAGCUUUUAACUAAGCUUUGAAGCGCAAACAUUCCUCUUCCAGUAAUCUAUGUAUAGAUUUUAUGAAUAAAAUUCUCAACAAAUAAAAA